GAUGAACGCUGGCGGCGUGCCUAAUACAUGCAAGUCGAGCGAACAGACGAGGAGCUUGCUCCUCUGACGUUAGCGGCGGACGGGUGAGUAACACGUGGAUAACCUACCUAUAAGACUGGGAUAACUUCGGGAAACCGGAGCUAAUACCGGAUAAUAUAUUGAACCGCAUGGUUCAAUAGUGAAAGACGGUUUUGCUGUCACUUAUAGAUGGAUCCGCGCCGCAUUAGCUAGUUGGUAAGGUAACGGCUUACCAAGGCAACGAUGCGUAGCCGACCUGAGAGGGUGAUCGGCCACCCUGGAACUGAGACACGGUCCAGACUCCUACGGGAGGCAGCAGUAGGGAAUCUUCCGCAAUGGGCGAAAGCUUGACGGAGCAACGCCGAGUGAGUGAUGAAGGUCUUCGGAUCGUAAAACUCUGUUAUUAGGGAAGAACAAAUGUGUAAGUAACUAUGCACGUCGUGACGGUACCUAAUCAGAAAGCCACGGCUAACUACGUG
rnacentral:rRNA from 1 species